GUAUAGCUCAGGGGCACAGCACCUGCCUGGCAUGCAUGAGGCCCUGAGUUUGAUUCCCAGUAC
rnacentral:tRNA from 1 species